rnacentral:rRNA from 1 species
AAGCUAAAUAUUGGCGAGAGACCGAUAGCGAACAAGUACCGUGAGGGAAAGAUGAAAAGNACUUUGGAAAGAGAGUUAAACAGUACGUGAAAUUGCUGAAAGGGAAACGCUUGAAGUCAGUCGCGUUGGCCGGGGAUCAACCUUGCUUUUGCUGGGCGUACUUUCCGGUUGACGGGUCAGCAUCAAUUUUGACCAUUGGAUAAAGUCUAGAGGAAUGUAGCAUCUUCGGAUGUGUUAUAGCCUUUGGUCGCAUACAAUGGUUGGGAUUGAGGAACUCAGCACGCCGCAAGGCCGGGUACUUGUACCACGUUCGUGCUUAGGAUGCUGGCAUAAUGGCUUUAAUCGACCCGUCUUGAAACACGGACCAAGGAGUCUAACAUGCCUGCGAGUGUUUGGGUGGCAAACUCGGACGCGUAAUGAAAGUGAAAGUUGAGAUCCCUGUCGUGGGGAGCAUCGACGCCCGGACCAGACCUUUUGUGACGGAUCCGCGGUAGAGCAUGUAUGUUGGGACCCGAAAGAUGGUGAACUAUGCCUGAAUAGGGUGAAGCCAGAGGAAACUCUGGUGGAGGCUCGUAGCGAUUCUGACGUGCAANUCGAUCGUCAAAUU